rnacentral:rRNA from 1 species
AUUGAACGCUGGCGGCAGGCCUAACACAUGCAAGUCGAGCGGAUGAAGGGAGCUUGCUCCUGGAUUCAGCGGCGGACGGGUGAGUAAUGCCUAGGAAUCUGCCUGGUAGUGGGGGAUAACGUCCGGAAACGGGCGCUAAUACCGCAUACGUCCUGAGGGAGAAAGUGGGGGAUCCUCGGACCUCACGCUAUCAGAUGAGCCUAGGUCGGAUUAGCUAGUUGGUGGGGUAAAGGCCUACCAAGGCGACGAUCCGUAACUGGUCUGAGAGGAUGAUCAGUCACACUGGAACUGAGACACGGUCCAGACUCCUACGGGAGGCAGCAGUGGGGAAUAUUGGACAAUGGGCGAAAGCCUGAUCCAGCCAUGCCGCGUGUGUGAAGAAGGUCUUCGGAUUGUAGAGCACUUUAAGUUGGGAGGAAGGGCAGUAAGUUAAUACCUUGCUGUUUUGACGUUACCAACAGAAUAAGCACCGGCUAACUUCGUG